rnacentral:rRNA from 1 species
AGGUGAACCUGCGGAAGGAUCAUUACCGAGUGAGGGCCCUCUGGGUCCAACCUCCCACCCGUGUUUAUCGUACCUUGUUGCUUCGGCGGGCCCGCCGUAAGGCCGCCGGGGGGCAUCUGCCCUCUGGCCCGCGCCCGCCGAAGACACCAUUGAACGCUGUCUGAAGAUUGCAGUCUGAGCAAUUAGUUAAAUAACUUAAAACUUUCAACAACGGAUCUCUUGGUUCCGGCAUCGAUGAAGAACGCAGCGAAAUGCGAUACGUAAUGUGAAUUGCAGAAUUCAGUGAAUCAUCGAGUCUUUGAACGCACAUUGCGCCCCCUGGUAUUCCGGGGGGCAUGCCUGUCCGAGCGUCAUUGCUGCCCUCAAGCACGGCUUGUGUGUUGGGCUCCGUCCUCCUCCCGGGGGACGGGCCCGAAAGGCAGCGGCGGCACCGCGUCCGGUCCUCGAGCGUAUGGGGCUUCGUCACCCGCUCUGUAGGCCCGGCCGGCGCUUGCCGACACAUCAAUCUUUUUUCCAGGUUGACCUCGGAUCAGGUAGGGAUACCCGCUGAACUUAAGCAUAUCAAUAA